GAUGAACGCUGGCGGCGUGCCUAAUACAUGCAAGUCGAGCGAACGGACGAGAAGCUUGCUUCUCUGAUGUUAGCGGCGGACGGGUGAGUAACACGUGGAUAACCUACCUAUAAGACUGGGAUAACUUCGGGAAACCGGAGCUAAUACCGGAUAAUAUUUUGAACCGCAUGGUUCAAAAGUGAAAGACGGUCUUGCUGUCACUUAUAGAUGGAUCCGCGCUGCAUUAGCUAGUUGGUAAGGUAACGGCUUACCAAGGCAACGAUGCAUAGCCGACCUGAGAGGGUGAUCGGCCACACUGGAACUGAGACACGGUCCAGACUCCUACGGGAGGCAGCAGUAGGGAAUCUUCCGCAAUGGGCGAAAGCCUGACGGAGCAACGCCGCGUGAGUGAUGAAGGUCUUCGGAUCGUAAAACUCUGUUAUUAGGGAAGAACAUAUGUGUAAGUAACUGUGCACAUCUUGGCGGUACCUAAUCAGAAAGCCACGGCUAACUACGUGCCAGCAGCCGCGGUAAUACGUAGGUGGCAAGCGUUAUCCGGAAUUAUUGGGCGUAAAGCGCGCGUAGGCGGUUUUUUAGUCUGAUGUGAAAGCCCACGGCUCAACCGUGGAGGGUCAUUGGAAACUGGAAAACUUGAGUGCAGAAGAGGAAAGUGGAAUUCCAUGUGUAGCGGUGAAAUGCGCAGAGAUAUGGAGGAACACCAGUGGCGAAGGCGACUUUCUGGUCUGUAACUGACGCUGAUGUGCGAAAGCGUGGGGAUCAAACAGGAUUAGAUACCCUGGUAGUCCACGCCGUAAACGAUGAGUGCUAAGUGUUAGGGGGUUUCCGCCCCUUAGUGCUGCAGCUAACGCAUUAAGCACUCCGCCUGGGGAGUACGACCGCAAGGUUGAAACUCAAAGGAAUUGACGGGGACCCGCACAAGCGGUGGAGCAUGUGGUUUAAUUCGAAGCAACGCGAAGAACCUUACCAAAUCUUGACAUCCUUUGACAACUCUAGAGAUAGAGCCUUCCCCUUCGGGGGACAAAGUGACAGGUGGUGCAUGGUUGUCGUCAGCUCGUGUCGUGAGAUGUUGGGUUAAGUCCCGCAACGAGCGCAACCCUUAAGCUUAGUUGCCAUCAUUAAGUUGGGCACUCUAAGUUGACUGCCGGUGACAAACCGGAGGAAGGUGGGGAUGACGUCAAAUCAUCAUGCCCCUUAUGAUUUGGGCUACACACGUGCUACAAUGGACAAUACAAAGGGCAGCGAAACCGCGAGGUCAAGCAAAUCCCAUAAAGUUGUUCUCAGUUCGGAUUGUAGUCUGCAACUCGACUACAUGAAGCUGGAAUCGCUAGUAAUCGUAGAUCAGCAUGCUGCGGUGAAUACGUUCCCGGGUCU
rnacentral:rRNA from 1 species